UACGUAGGGGGCGAACGUUGUCCGGAUUUAUUGGGCGUAAAGAGCUCGUAGGCGGCUCAGCAAGUCGGCCGUGAAAGUCCGGGGCUCAACCCCGGGAUGCCGGUCGAUACUGCUGUGGCUAGGGUCCGGUAGAGGAGAGUGGAAUUCCCGGUGUAGCGGUCGAAAUGCGCAGAUAUCAGGAGGAACACCGGUGGCGAAGGCG
rnacentral:rRNA from 1 species